AGAACGUAGCGAAAUGCGAUACUUGGUGUGAAUUGCAGAAUCCCGUGAACCAUCGAGUUUUUGAACGCAAGUUGCGCCCAAAGCCAUUAGGCUAAGGGCACGUCUGCCUGGGCGUCACGCAUCACGUCGCCCCAACCCCAAUGCCUGGCUACCAGCNGGACGUUGCGGGAGCUGGGGC
rnacentral:rRNA from 1 species